UUUGUCUAGCCACUGCAUUUAUGUUCAUUGUGUCCCGGAAGUGAGGUUGCAGAAGUUUGUAUAUUGGAUGAAGCACACUUAGAUGCCUAUUUGUUGCAAUCACAAAUGGCUCGAUCGCUGCAUGGGUGUGCAACCUAUGAAGAAAGUACAAAUCUUUAGAAAUCGAUCUCAAUUAAUUAAGUAAUUAAUUAUCUUUCUUCUGAUAGUCUAUUUUUGUUUGACAGAUUUCAUACCAGUGGCUGAUAAGCUGGUGAAUGCCAGAAUCAAUUACAGCCACAUAUGCUUUAGCCAGUUGCCAUAUGGAACCUUCAAUGCCAUGCUCAGCUGGUGUGCAUACUUUGCUAAUGGCACCGAGUUUAUCUCCCUCAGGAUGAGGCAAGCUUAAUUCGAUCGCAAGAGGCUUAAGAGUACCAUCAUCUUUCAAGAAAAGUAGGGUCCUGGUUGCAUAUGUCUUUGUGGAAGUAGCAUUUAUCCGCCUCAGGUAUGGCAUGACUGUAUCAUGGUGAUCUAAUAUGUAUAGCUUCUUGUUCUUGAUUGCCUUCACCACCAUUAAUACAACAAAUGUUCAAUUGUGGGAUUGAUUAAAUUCAACUAAUCCCGACAAGAACAUCAUUGAUUUUGAUUGUAAACUCAGUUGUGAAAGAAACGAAAAAGAGUAGCAUUACCUCAUCUAUGGUCAGUCCAUCUAGUCUAUUCUUUAUAUGUUCUUCACUUAUUUUACUGUUUUGAUCACCAUAAAAUUUGCUGUCUAGAUUGCUUUCUGGAGGGAAUUCCUGCAGUAAAAUUUAGUUUUAGGCAUCAACUUCCUGUCUGUAACGGGUGAAAUUGGAAGGAAACGAAGGUUUGACAUCCAUUAUAAUUUUCCUAAGUCAAUUCUAUACAAACCUUCAUGGCAAACAAUAAGGGAAAAAGUGCUUCAAUACCUCGAGACAACGAAUGAUGACAGGGUUUACACCGGCCAGCAUUUCUCUGCCAAAUUCUUCAUCAGUCCUCCAAGCAGUCUUGCUCUCUGCCCAAUUAUUAGAACAUCACAGUUGCUUGGCAGAAGGAA
rnacentral:lncRNA from 1 species